rnacentral:rRNA from 1 species
AUAAACGCUGGCGGCGUGCUUAACACCUGCAAGUCGAACGCAGUUUUUCUUUCGGGAGGAACUUCGUGGCGGACGGGUGAGUAACGCGUGGGUAACCUGCCCUGUACAGGGGGACAACAGCUGGAAACGGCUGCUAAUACCGCAUAAGCCCUUAGCACUGCAUGGUGCAUAGGGAAAAGGAGCAAUCCGGUACAGGAUGGACCCGCGUCUGAUUAGCCAGUUGGCAGGGUAACGGCCUACCAAAGCGACGAUCAGUAGCCGAUCUGAGAGGAUGUACGGCCACAUUGGGACUGAGACACGGCCCAGACUCCUACGGGAGGCAGCAGUGGGGAAUAUUGCACAAUGGAGGAAACUCUGAUGCAGCGACGCCGCGUGAGUGAAGAAGUAUUUCGGUAUGUAAAGCUCUAUCAGCAGGAAAGAAAAUGACGGUACCUGACUAAGAAGCACCGGCUAAAUACGUG